rnacentral:misc_RNA from 1 species
GAUGAAGAACGUAGCGAAAUGCGAUACGUAAUGUGAAUUGCAGAAUUCAGUGAAUCAUCGAGUCUUUGAACGCACAUUGCGCCCCCUGGUAUUCCGGGGGGCAUGCCUGUCCGAGCGUCAUUGCUGCCCUCAAGCACGGCUUGUGUGUUGGGCCUCCGUCCUCCUCCCGGGGGACGGGCCCGAAAGGCAGCGGCGGCACCGCGUCCGGUCCUCGAGCGUAUGGGGCUUCGUCACCCGCUCUUGUAGGCCCGGCCGGCGCUUGCCGACACAUCAAUCUUUUUUCCAGGUUGACCGCGGAUCAGGUAGGGAUACCCGCUGAACUUAAGCAUAUCAAUAAGCGGAGGA